GUCCCGCAGUGAAGCCCAUCUCUCCCACCUCUGUAGAUGACCCGACUAGGGCAGCACACCCAGACUCACUUACAGCCCGGAGCCAUGGAAUUUUACGAAUCAUGAAUCGCCCGGCACAAUGGGUGGUCAUCAUCACACUUCUGAUCUCUUGGUCAAUAGCAGGUGUUGUCAUGUUUGACUUUGUCAGUGACGAUCAGAUUGCAAGUAAGUUUUAAAUAGGCCAGAAUUCAUUUUCACAGUUUCUUUUUUUAUUUACUCUUGUGCUGUUGUUGGAUUUGUUGGGUUCACUCUGAAUUGUUUUUAUAGGCAUCCAAGAUUUCGGCUCUGAUCCAGUGCUAGCAGUGAACAAAGCCAUUGAAGUCAUUGAAAACAGGAUAAAUCAUAUGAAUGACAUGUUUAAUGAUGCUCAAGAGUACGUCACUGAAAUAAUAUUUAAUCCGGUGGAAGCUAUUAGUUCAACUGCUGACUCAUCUGUGUCUUAUCUGUCAGGAAUAUUUAGUGCCGAUGGAGAUUUAGGAAUCACUGAAACAGUGAAAUAUGGGGGCACUGUAUUGGAUGAGGCUACAGAAUUGGAUCAGAUCCCCAGUGAGCUACGUAUUCCACUUAUUUGAAGACAUUUUGGAUAUAGUGGUUGCUCCAGUGGAUAUGGUCAGUGAAGCUCUUGUGCAAAUGUUAAGUGGGAUCAAGACUGUUAUACUUUAUAUUUCCUCCAUGUUUGGGGGCAUUGAAGGUACUGCAAAGCACCAACAUUGUAUAUAUACACUCACAGAAUCUAUUGCAUCUAUAUAGGUGCAUGCAUCUUGUCAAUAAUUCCCAAAAUAAGCAUUGAUCCUGUAUAAAGAUCUGCUUUUUGGACUUAUUUUUACACUUAACAGGGUACACAGGCAUCACUGAAACAGUGAACCUUGGUGGCACUGUACUGGAUGAGGUUACUGACUGGAUUAGAUUCCCAGUGGCCUACUUAUUCCAUUUAUUUGAAGGUACCUACAUUACAGAAAUAAUUGGCUGUUGUUGUUUUGCAGAUUGACAGGCAAUCAAAGACUCAUGAUCUGCUCUAACUCAAGAAAAUAUUUCAAUCAACAUUUGAAAUUCCCAUGUAUAAAGAAAAAGUCAUAUUUUGAGCAUUUCAGUAAAACAUUAUUUCAGCUGCUCACUGACUUCUGUUUAAUGCUGCAUAGAUAUCCUGGAUGUAGCAAUCAUUUAUCCAGCAGACAUUGCCAGUGAAGCAGCUCUGCAAAUUUUAAGUGGGAUCAAGAACAUUUCUUCAACCAUAUUCGGGAACCUUGAAGGUAUUUAUUUCUUGCAACAUUUUAGACAUUCAGUGAUAUAAUUUACACAAAGUUACUGCAUUUUUACUCAAAUAAAUGCAGCGUUGGUGAGCCUAAGAAAUGUUAAAAAAAUUGCACUGACCCCACACAUUUAGUAGUGCAUAAAUAUCAAAAGAGUUCAAAUAAAUGCACUGUUUCAGCUUGGUUUCCCAAAACGAGCACUGAUCCUGCGGGGCUGGCUGAAAUAGUUGUAGAGGAGGCUGCAGAAGUAAAGACCACUGUUUCUAAUUACCUAUCAAGUCUGUUUGCAGCGGAUGAAGGUAUUGUUCAUUUAUCAGCUCAAAACAUUGUGUUUAAUUAAUAUUCAAUAUUUGAUUAGUAAAAGAGUAUUCAGUUGCAUUAUAUUAUUUCAUUUUUUCCAGGUGGUAUUUCUGACAUUAGCUUUGAUCCCAUGAAAGUUGUCACAGACACUGUUGAGGAGUUUGCUGACAGGAGGGAUAUGUUCUUGGCUUAUCUCUCAAACAUGCUCAUGGAAGACAAAGGUAUUCAUCCAAUCAAGUAUAUCACAAAUGUAUACUUGUGUAUUAAAAUACAGUUCUUUUUUUAAAUAUC
rnacentral:lncRNA from 1 species